UACAGAGGUCUCAAGCGUUGUUCGGAUUCAUUGGGCGUAAAGGGUGCGUAGGCGGUCGGGUAAGUCUGAUGUGAAAUCUCACAGCUUAACUGUGAAACUGCAUUGGAUACUAUCCGGCUCGAGGAAUGGAGGGGAGACUGGAAUACUUGGUGUAGCAGUGAAAUGCGUAGAUAUCAAGUGGAACACCAGUGGCGAAGGCGAGUCUCUGGACAUUUCCUGACGCUGAGGCCCGAAAGCCAGGGGAGCAAACGGG
rnacentral:rRNA from 1 species